AGAACUCCUGGAAAUGUGAAGACAUCCAGUAUACCCCUGGGAUGCCUGCCAUAUAAAAGCUCAAAUGGGGAGAAGCCCGUAGAACUUUGGGGAAUCUCCCGAACAGCACACAACAGGUAAGGAAGCAGCAGGCCCCAAUCUUUCCCAUCCCUGCCAACAACUUUUCU